rnacentral:rRNA from 1 species
GGGCCCGCACAAGCGGUGGAGCAUGUGGUUUAAUUCGAUGAUACGCGAGGAACCUUACCAGGUCUUAAAUGCAUAACGAACGAUUGGGAAACCAAUCUUUCUUCGGACGGAAUGCAAGGUGCUGCAUGGUUGUCGUCAGCUCGUGCCGUGAGGUGUCAGGUUAAGUCCUAUAACGAGCGCAACCCCUAUUCUUAGUUGCCAGCGGUUCGGCCGGGGACUCUAAGAAAACUGCCAGUGCAAGCUGUGAGGAAGGUGGGGAUGACGUCAAAUCAUCACGGCCCUUACGACCUGGGCCACACACGUGCUACAAUGGUAGGUACAAAGGGCAGCCAACUUGCGAGAGUGAGCGAAUCCCAAAAAGUGCGUCGUAGUCCGGAUCGGAGUCUGCAACUCGACUCCGUGAAGUCGGAAUCGCUAG